rnacentral:lncRNA from 1 species
UCUGAUGAACAAAUAGGAAAAAGACUAAAAUAUCAAACUGUGACAUCAACUAAAUUAUCUUAUAAGAAACAAGUUGACAAUUAUUUCGCACCAUUCACGAUAUCAGUAAGCAACUCAACCGCCAAAGUUUCUAUAAUUAAUUGUUCUUAAACCUACAUCUUCAUUUUACAGUUGAUUCUUUAUGUUUGGCUUGAAUGUACUAGAAGAAACUCAAUUAAGCGCAAAAUUGUCAAAGAAGAUGCAGUACAAGAACAAAAAUGGUCAAAUUUGAAAACUAUAGAAUUUUUGCAUGCUAGUUUAUCCUUGUUUAUGAAUUUAAUGAGUCAAAAAUUAACUAAUGAGCGACUUGGCAUAGCAUCUCAGGUAAACUGGCUCCAAACUCUCUCACAAGCCAUAUCCGACCCAGUUUGGACCAAAAAAAUUCAGAUUAUUAUCCCUGCAUAAGCAGUAAGGGGAUUGUCCCAACUCCCAAGGUCGAUUGCCUCAACUCCCAAGGUCGAUUGCCUCAACUCCCAAGGUCCAAUCUAUAAGUUAAAAGAUAGAAUAACUAAAUAAGUUACUUGUGUAAUGGACAUCAAAUAGUUGCCACAAUGUGAAUGAUGCCGGCUCAAACAUGAAACAGUAUAUGGUCGGCUGACUAAAUGAUAGAAACUCCGUUCCAAAAGUUGCUACUUUAAUGUACAACUACGUACAAACUAUACUGCAUCUUAAAUGUUCCUUCCAUCAUGACAUUCAGGUUAAUAGUUUUCUCCACUAAACAUUCAGUAUAUGACCUGUGAAGAAAAUAAAAUUCCUCAAUCUUCUAUCAUAACAACAUCAACAAUGAGGCAAAUUACCU